GAUGAACGCUGGCGGCGUGCCUAAUACAUGCAAGUCGAGCGAACAGACGAGGAGCUUGCUCCUCUGACGUUAGCGGCGGACGGGUGAGUAACACGUGGAUAACCUACCUAUAAGACUGGGAUAACUUCGGGAAACCGGAGCUAAUACCGGAUAAUAUAUUGAACCGCAUGGUUCAAUAGUGAAAGACGGUUUUGCUGUCACUUAUAGAUGGAUCCGCGCCGCAUUAGCUAGUUGGUAAGGUAACGGCUUACCAAGGCAACGAUGCGUAGCCGACCUGAGAGGCUGAUCGGCCGCACUGGAGCGGGGACACGGUCCAGGCUCCUACGGGAGGCAGCAGAAGGGAAUCUUCCGCAAUGGGGGAAAGCCUGACGGAGCAACGCCGCGUGAGUGAUGAAGAUGUUCGGAUCGUAAAACUCUGUUAUUAGGGAGGAACAGAUGUGUAAGUAACUAUGCACGUCUUGACGGUACCUAAUCAGAAAGCCACGGCUAACUACGUG
rnacentral:rRNA from 1 species